ACCGAGGAAGGCGAUUAUCAGACCAAGUUGCGUAAUCUCAAGAAAUUUCUGGACCAGGGAAAUAAAACGAAGGUAACGCUGUGGUUUCGAGGCCGCGAGAUGGCCCACCAGAAUCUGGGUUUACGCCUUCUCAGACGGGUAGAAAAGGAUUUAGAAGAUUUCGCCAAGGUUGAGCAAAUGCCGAAAUUGGAAGGGCGGCGUCUCUCUAUGGUGUUAUCGCCCCAAAAGUAGUUUUUUUUGCGAAAUUAAUGUUGAAAUAACGAUGCCAAAACUGAGAACAAAGCGUGGUGCCGCAAAGCGUUUCAAAUCUACCGUUAAGGGUGGA
rnacentral:misc_RNA from 1 species